rnacentral:rRNA from 1 species
GCAAGUCGAACGAGAAAUCCUUAGCUUGCUAGGGAGAGUACAGUGGCGCACGGGUGAGUAACGCGUGGGUAAUCUACCCUCGAGACGGGGAUAACAUUGCGAAAGCGAUGCUAAUACCCGGUAAUAUCCAUGAUACUUCGGUGUUUUGGAUCAAAGAUGGCCUCUUCUUGAAAGCUAUUGUUUGGGGAUGAGCCCGCGUACCAUUAGCUGGUUGGUGGGGUAAAGGCCUACCAAGGCGAUGAUGGUUAGCUGGUCUGAGAGGAUGAUC